UUUAAUUCGAAGCAACGCGCAGAACCUUACCAGCGUUUGACAUCCUGAUCGCGGAUUAGAGAGAUCUUUUCCUUCAGUUCGGCUGGAUCAGUGACAGGUGCUGCAUGGCUGUCGUCAGCUCGUGUCGUGAGAUGUUGGGUUAAGUCCCGCAACGAGCGCAACCCUCAUCCCUAGUUGCCAUCAUUCAGUUGGGCACUCUAAGGAAACUGCCGGUGAUAAGCCGGAGGAAGGUGGGGAUGACGUCAAGUCCUCAUGGCCCUUACGCGCUGGGCUACACACGUGCUACAAUGGCAACUACAGUGGGCAGCAACCUCGCGAGGGGUAGCUAAUCUCCAAAAGUUGUCUCAGUUCGGAUUGUUCUCUGCAACUCGAGAGCAUGAAGGCGGAAUCGCU
rnacentral:rRNA from 1 species